GUGCAGUUGCGGCGUGCACACUAUUACAGUCGAACGGUGAAGCCCAGCUUGCUGGGUGGAUCAGUGGCGAACGGGUGAGUAACACGUGAGCAACCUGCCCUCCACUUCGGGAUAAGCCUUGGAAACGGGGUCUAAUACCGGAUAUGAGCAUCUGCCGCAUGGUGGGUGUUGGAAAGUUUUUCGGUGGGGGAUGGGCUCGCGGCCUAUCAGCUUGUUGGUGGGGUGAUGGCCUACCAAGGCGUCGACGGGUAGCCGGCCUGAGAGGGCGACCGGCCACACUGGGACUGAGACACGGCCCAGACUCCUACGGGAGGCAGCAGUGGGGAAUAUUGCACAAUGGGCGAAAGCCUGAUGCAGCGACGCCGCGUGAGGGAUGACGGCCUUCGGGUUGUAAACCUCUUUCAGCAGGGAAGAAGGCCUUCGGGUGGACGGUACCUGCAGAAGAAGCGCCGGCUAACUACGUGCCAGCAGCCGCGGUAAUACGUAGGGCGCAAGCGUUGUCCGGAAUUAUUGGGCGUAAAGAGCUCGUAGGCGGUCUGUCGCGUCUGGUGUGAAAUCCCGAGGCUCAACCUCGGGCUUGCAUCGGGUACGGGCAGACUAGAGUACUGUAGGGGAGACUGGAAUUCCUGGUGUAGCGGUGGAAUGCGCAGAUAUCAGGAGGAACACCGAUGGCGAAGGCAGGUCUCUGGGCAGUUACUGACGCUGAGGAGCGAAAGCAUGGGGAGCGAACAGGAUUAGAUACCCUGGUAGUCCAUGCCGUAAACGUUGGGCACUAGGUGUGGGGCUCAUUCCACGAGUUCCGUGCCGCAGCUAACGCAUUAAGUGCCCCGCCUGGGGAGUACGGCCGCAAGGCUAAAACUCAAAGGAAUUGACGGGGGCCCGCACAAGCGGCGGAGCAUGCGGAUUAAUUCGAUGCAACGCGAAGAACCUUACCAAGGCUUGACAUGCACCGGACGCUGCCAGAGAUGGUGGUUCCGCAAGGUCGGUGCACAGGUGGUGC
rnacentral:rRNA from 1 species